rnacentral:rRNA from 1 species
UACGUAGGGUCCAAGCGUUAUCCGGAAUCACUGGGCGUAAAGCGUUUGUAGGCGGAAGUUUAAGUGAGAUGCGAAAUCUCGUGGCUCAACCACGUAGACGGUAUCUCAUACUGGGCUUCUAGAAUAUAGCAGAGGUAAGUGGAAUUAGUAGUGUAGCGGUAAAAUGCGUAGAUAUUACUAGGAACACCAAUGGCGAAGGCAGCUUACUGGGCUAUUAUUGACGCUGAGAAACGAAAGCGUGGGGAGCGAACAGGAUUAGAUACCCUGGUAGUCCACGCCGUAAACGAUGUGUGCUAUUAGUUCGAGGUAUCGACCCCUUGGGCUGAACAGCUAACGCGUUAAGCACACCGCCUGGGGAGUACGAGCGCAAGCUUAAA